rnacentral:RNase_P_RNA from 1 species
AAGGCGAUGCAGACGCACACAUUCAGCAUUACUCAGCCGAUACAACUCCCAAUCUCCAAGUGCUUGAGCUGCAAUGGCUUGUUCAUUGUAAAGCACUGAGGCUGACAGAAAGUGCUUCAGAAAAUAACCGCCCCAAAAGGGUAAGGGUGAAAAGGCAGGGUAAGAGCCUACCGCGUCUCUGGUAACAGAAACGGCAUAAGUAAACCUCAUCAGGAGCAAAACCAUGCAGCGGUUUGUCAUCCGGACUUACACCGCGGGUAGAUCGCUGGAGGCGGCGGGUAACUGCCGUUGCGGAUAGAUGGCCAAGCGAGACUGAGUGUGGCAACACAUUCUUUCUGCGUACCAGAACCCGGCUUACUGUAUCCUUUUUUUU